CGCGCUGGACCGUGCACAAGUCUCCUGGAAUGGAGCGUCAUAGAGGGUGAGAAUCCCGUCUUUGGCAUGGAUCCCAGGGCUUCUGUGAUGCGCUCUCGACGAGUCGAGUUGUUUGGGAAUGCAGCUCAAAAUGGGUGGUGAACUCCAUCUAAAGCUAAAUAUUGGCGAGAGACCGAUAGCGAACAAGUACCGUGAGGGAAAGAUGAAAAGCACUUUGGAAAGAGAGUGAAACAGUACGUGAAAUUGUUGAAAGGGAAACGCUUGAAGUCAGUCGCGUUGACCGAGACUCAACCUUGCCUUGGCUUGGUGUAUUUCUCGGCUGACGGGUCAGCAUCAAUUUUGACCCUCAGAUAAUGGCAAGGGAAAGGUGGCACCUUUUAGGUGUGUUAUAGUCCCAUGUCGCAUGUGAGGGUUGGGAUUGAGGAACUCAGCAUGCACCUCCGGGUGUCGGGGCUUUGGCCCACGUUACAUGCUUAGGAUGCUGGCGUAAUGGCUUUAAACGACCCGUCUUGAAACACGGACCAAGGAGUCUAACAUACCCCGCGAGUGUUCCGGGUGGAAAACCCCGUGCGCGUAAUGAAAGUAAAAGUUGGGACCUCUGUCGUGGAGGGCACCGACGCCCCGGACCAGACCUUCCUGUGACGGCUCUGCCGGUAGAGCCGUGUAUGUUUGGGACCCCGAAAGAUGGGUGAACUAUKGCUUGAAUAAGGGUGAAGCCAGAGGAAACU
rnacentral:rRNA from 1 species